rnacentral:rRNA from 1 species
AUUGAACGCUGGCGGCAGGCCUAACACAUGCAAGUCGAGCGAGCGGCGGACGGGUGAGUAAUGUAUGGGGAUCUGCCCGAUAGAGGGGGAUAACUACUGGAAACGGUGGCUAAUACCGCAUACUAUCGGAUGAACCCAUAUGGGUUUAGCUAGUAGGUGGGGUAAAGGCUCACCUAGGCGACGAUCUCUAGCUGGUCUGAGAGGAUGAUCAGCCACACUGGAACUGAGAAACGGCCCAGACUCCAACGGGAGGCAGCAGUGGGGAAUAUUGCACAAGUGGCGCAAGCCGUAUGCAGCCAUGCCGCGUGUAUGAAGAAGGCCUUGGGGUGGUAAAGUACUUUCAGCGGGGAGGCGUUACCCGAAGAAGAAGCACCGGCUAACUCCGUGCCAGCAGCCGCGGUAAUAC